ACGCUCGACACCUACGGGGGGCAGCAGUUGGGAAUAUUGGACAAUGGAGGAAACUCUGAUCCAGUGACGCCGCGUGAAGGAAGAAGGUCUUCGGAUUGUAAACUUAUUUUGUCAGGGAAGAAAAAUGACUGUACCUGAAGAAAAAGCACCGGCUAACUACGUGCCAGCAGCCGCGGUAAUCUGAGGCGGGCGUGGCAAGGC
rnacentral:rRNA from 1 species